CGGAUUGCAGGCUGAAAUUCGCCUGCAUGAAGCCGGAAUUGCUAGUAAUGGCAGGUCAGCAUACUGCCGUGAAUACGUUCCCGGGCCUUGUACACACCGCCCGUCACACCAUGAGAGUUGGGGAUACCCGAAGCCUGUGAGCCAACUUUUAGAGGCAGCAGUCGAAGGUAGAAUCAAUGAUUGGGGUGAAGUCGUAACAAGGUAGC
rnacentral:rRNA from 1 species